GCAAUGCACGAAAGUGUGACGGGGCUACCCCGAGUGCCGUCCGCUGAGGAUGGCUUUUCCUCGGUGUAACUAGCCGGGGGAAUAAGGAGAGGGCAAGACUGGUGUCAGCCGCCGCGGUAAUACCAGCUCUCCGAGUGGUAGGGAUGAUUAUUGGGCUUAAAGCGUCCGUAGCCGGCUUAGCAAGUCUCCUGUUAAAUUCAGCGACCUAAUCGUUGAGCCGCGGGAGAUACUACUAGGCUAGGAGGCGGGAGAGGCCGACGGUACUUCCGGGGUAGGGGUGAAAUCCUAUAAUCCCGGGCGGACCACCAGUGGCGAAGGCUGUCGGCUAGAACGCGCUCGACGGUGAGGGACGAAAGCUGGGGGAGCGAACCGGAUUAGAUACCCGGGUAGUCCCAGCCGUAAACGAUGCGGGCUAGGUGUUGGGGUGGCUACGUGCCACUUCAGUGCCGCAGGGAAGCCAUUAAACCCGCCGCCUGGGGAGUACGGCCGCAAGGCUGAAACUUAA
rnacentral:rRNA from 1 species